rnacentral:rRNA from 1 species
CUUCCCUACGGGGGGCAGCAGUGGGGAAUAUUGCACAAUGGGGGGAACCCUGAUGCAGCGACGCCGCGUGGGUGAAGGAGCACCUCGGUGCGUAAAGCCCUAUCGGCAGGGAAGAAAAGCGAACAGGUUCGCCUGGACGGUACCUGACUAAGAAGCCCCGGCUAACUACGUGCCAGCAGCCGCGGUAAUACGUAGGGGGCAAGCGUUAUCCGGAUUUACUGGGUGUAAAGGGGGCGCAGACGGCAGCGCAAGCCAGGAGUGAAA